rnacentral:rRNA from 1 species
UACACCUGUUCCCAUGCCGAACACAGAAGUUAAGCUUCUUAGCGCCGAUUGUAGUGAAGGGUUUCCCUUUGUGAGAGUAGGACGUCGCCACGC